rnacentral:tRNA from 1 species
AGGAAGGUGGCUCAGUGGUAGAGUGCUUGCCUUGCAUGCAUGAGGCCCUGGGUUCGAUUCCUCAAUGCUA